UCCUCGUUAGUAUAGUGGUGAGUAUCCCCGCCUGUCACGCGGGAGACCGGGGUUCGAUUCCCGGCACGGGAG
rnacentral:tRNA from 1 species